rnacentral:rRNA from 1 species
UACAGGGGGUGCAAACGUUGCUCGGAAUCAUUGGGCGUAAAGCGCACGUAGGCGGUCUGUUAUGUCGGAUGUGAAAGCCCACGGCUCAACCGUGGAAGUGCAUCCGAAACUGCAUGGCUUGAGUCUCGGAGAGGAAGGUGGAAUGCUUGGUGUAGAGGUGAAAUUCGUAGAUAUCAAGCAGAACACCUGCGGCGAAGGCGGCCUUCUGGACGAU